rnacentral:rRNA from 1 species
GUAAGGAAUAUUGGACAAUGGACGCAAGUCUGAUCCAGCCAUGCCGCGUGAAGGAUUAAGGUCCUCUGGAUUGUAAACUUCUUUUAUAAGGGACGAAAAAAGGCUUUUCUAAGUCGUCUGACGGUACCUUAUGAAUAAGCACCGGCUAACUCCGUGCCAGCAGCCGCGGUAAUACGGAGGGUGCAAGCGUUAUCCGGAUUCACUGGGUUUAAAGGGUGCGUAGGCGGGCAGGUAAGUCAGUGGUGAAAUCCUAGAGCUUAACUCUAGAACUGCCAUUGAUACUAUCUGUCUUGAAUAGUGUGGAGGUAAGCGGAAUAUGUCAUGUAGCGGUGAAAUGCUUAGAUAUGACAUAGAACACCUAUUGCGAAGGCAGCUUACUACGCAUAUAUUGACGCUGAGGCACGAAAGCGUGGGGAUCAAACAGGAUUAGAUACCCCUGUAGUCC